GACGAACGCUGGCGGCGUGCCUAAUACAUGCAAGUUGAGUGCUGAAGGUUGGUACUUGUACCAACUGGAUGAGCAGCGAACGGGUGAGUAACGCGUGGGGAAUCUGCCUUUGAGCGGGGGACAACAUUUGGAAACGAAUGCUAAUACCGCAUAAAAACUUUAAACACAAGUUUUAAGUUUGAAAGAUGCAAUUGCAUCACUCAAAGAUGAUCCCGCGUUGUAUUAGCUAGUUGGUGAGGUAAAGGCUCACCAAGGCGAUGAUACAUAGCCGACCUGAGAGGGUGGUCGGCCACAUUGGGACUGAGACACGGCCCAAACUCCUAAGGGGGGCAGCAGUAGGGAAUCUUCGGCAAUGGACGAAAAUCUGACCGAGCAAAGCCGCGUGAGUGAAGAAGGUUUUCGGAUCGUAAAACUCUGUUGGUAGAGAAGAAAGUUGGUGAGAGUGGAAAGCUCAUCAAGUGACGGUAACUAACCAGAAAGGGACGGCUAACUACGUG
rnacentral:rRNA from 1 species